AUGGAUAGCUGUCCUUCGCUAAUUUGGAAUGUUAGAGGUUUGAACUCGGCUGCUAGGAGAGGUGUAGUUUGGAGAUUAGUGCAGCAGUUUAAUGUAUCGUUCGUGUGCUUUCAAGAGUCCAAGGUUUCAGAGGUUUCCAAAGAGUUUGUCACAGAGUGUUGUGGGCCUGCUUUCACCGAUUUCUGCUUCCAGUCGGCUGUUGGUACUCAGGGAGGGAUUAUCAUGGCCUGGAAAGACGACGAG
rnacentral:rRNA from 1 species